rnacentral:rRNA from 1 species
GGCGAACGGGUGCGUAACACGUGAGCAACUGCCCCGAAGACCGGGACAAGCCGGGGAAACCUGGUCUAAUACCGGAUGCCCUCACCGGGUCGCAUGGUCUGGUGAGGAAAUGGAUUCCGCUUCGGGAUGGGCUCGCGGUCUAUCAGCUUGUUGGUGGGGUAACGGCCUACCAAGGCGACGACGGAUAGCUGGUCUGAGAGGACGAUCAGCCACACUGGGACUGAGACACGGCCCAGACUCCAUACGGGAGGCAGCAGUGGGGAAUCUUGCGCAAUGGGGGAAACCCUGACGCAGCGACGCCGCGUGCGGGACGAAGGCCUUCGGGUUGUAAACCGCUUUCAGCAGGGACGAAAUUGACGGUACCUGCAGAAGAAGGCCCGGCCAACUACGUGCCAGCCGCCGCGG